rnacentral:lncRNA from 1 species
AACAGAUUUAAACCUCAAUAACUAAUGAAUAAACCAUUGAUCUUAACUCAAAUUUUGCACACUUCUUAAAAAAUAAGUUAAAAAAAGCACAAAAAAUUUGAAAAGGAUCAAAAUUACCAAAUUGACGAUAACCUCAAAAAUGUGCUCAGGUAUUGGCCGGCCUCCUUCUCCAAUCUUGAUGCCAAUCUUCCAGAGCCAAUAUCUCUUCUUUUCACUGUUCGAUUGAUUUUAAAUUUUUCAUAUAUAUAAAAAACAAAUCUAAUAUCCUCUCACAUAAAUUUCAUUCCAAUACAAUUAGUAAAUUGCAAGAAAUCUUAAAAAUCCUCACUAGACCUAAAAUUCUACUUUUUGAGACCUUGACCCACUUAAAUCUCAAUAACCCUCAAUUCAAAUGUUAGAUUGAAUUCAAAUUGACAAAACAUAUUAAACACAAUUAUAACCAUCAACUGACAAAAUUUCACUUGUAGAUCUAUUACAAAACUCUUGAAAUCAUCCAAAACGUAAAUCCUAUUUUAUUUCAUAAAAUCCAAGUCAUCCAAAAUAAACCUUGAAUUUACAAAGCUCUUAUAAAGUCAUAACUCCAAAUUGCCCAUAACCAAUGCUCAUAGAAAUCUUAUCCCAUCUGCUAUCAAAUUCCAU